rnacentral:lncRNA from 1 species
UGAAUCUUGUAUAUGUAGAUUCUCGCCAAGAAGGGAGUAAUUGUAUUACCUGAUAUCUAUGCUAAUUCUGGUGGUGUGAUAGUUAGCUACUUUGAGUGGGUUCAGGUAAUUGCCUGUACAUACUUCGCCAUAUCAUUGCACAUCUGCUUCCUUGUUUUAAUCUGACACCUUCCUUGCACUAUUUUGAUGGUGCAGAACAUUCAGGGUUUCAUGUGGGAUGAAGAGAAAGUGAACAAUGAACUAGAAAAGUAUAUGAGCAGUGCUUUUCAACACCUCAAGGCCAUGUGCAAGUCUUUAGAUUGCGACCUUAGGAUGGGGGCAUUCACCUUAGGAGUUAAUAGGGUUGCCCGCGCCACCCUCUUGAGAGGCUGGGAGGCUUGAGAUCAUUAAGCAUACAGAUUGAUCAGAUUUGACAUUCAAUAAUUCAUGUCCAACAAUAUUGGAUGACCAGUGUUUGAUCUGGUAAAAUUCAUCAGAAGUGGCAGGCUUGGAAGGAGUAGUUUGGG